GACUCAUAUCACAGAGAUGUGAUAGAAAGAUAGUUGAAAAAUUUGCUUAAUCUUAAUUGAAUGAUUCUUCCCAAAUCAUUCAAAUCCAUUAUUUAGUUGGAAGGAGUGAAGUGUAAUGGCUGCAGAUAUCGUAUCUACAAUCAGUGAUUUCAUUAAAUGGAUCAUUGAUACAAUUAAAAAAUUCAAAAAAUAAGUUUUGAAUUCUUUCAUUGUAACUUUGUUUUCUUCGUAUAGUAUGACUAAGUAAUGGGUUGUUAAGCCAUCCCAACUUAAUAACCCAAAGUUAAUAGCAAGUGAGCAGCAUUUGCUAUAAAGCUGUAGUUUCCUUGGACUCAGUGUUACGUAUUAUUCUUAGCUACCUUUAAUUAGGUAAUUAUUUCUAGCAUGUAAGCUAUCGUAAACAACAUUCAAUUUAUCAUUAAUAAAAUAGAUAAAUUCACUAAAAUUUUUUCAUAAUUAAUAACAUCCCCAAAAAAUAGAUUGAAAAAAUAACUGUAAAAACAUUCCCUUAAUAAUAAGUUAUCAAAGCCGUGAGUCCCUCCCAAGCUCACGGC
rnacentral:ncRNA from 1 species